rnacentral:rRNA from 1 species
UACGGAGGGUGCGAGCGUUGUCCGGAAUCAUUGGGCGUAAAGGGCGCGUAGGUGGCGGGACAAGCGUGCGGUGAAAGCCCGGGGCUCAACCCCGGAAUUGCCUUUAAGACUGCAUCGCUUGAAUCCGGGAGAGGUGAGUGGAAUUCCGAGUGUAGAGGUGAAAUUCGUAGAUAUUCGGAAGAACACCAGUGGCGAAGGCGGCUCACUGGACCGGUAUUGACGCUGAGGUGCGAAAGCGUGGGGAGCAAACAGG